UGGGGAAUUUUGGACAAUGGGGCGAAAGCCUGAUCCAGCAAUGCCGCGUGUGUGAAGAAGGCCUUCGGGUUGUAAAGCACUUUUGUCCGGAAAGAAAUCCUUGGCUCUAAUACAGUCGGGGGAUGACGGUACCGGAAGAAUAAGCACCGGCUAACUACGUGCCAGCAGCCGCGGUAAUACGUAGGGUGCAAGCGUUAAUCGGAAUUACUGGGCGUAAAGCGUGCGCAGGCGGUUUGCUAAGACCGAUGUGAAAUCCCCGGGCUCAACCUGGGAACUGCAUUGGUGACUGGCAGGCUAGAGUAUGGCAGAGGGGGGUAGAAUUCCACGUGUAGCAGUGAAAUGCGUAGAGAUGUGGAGGAAUACCGAUGGCGAAGGCAGCCCCCUGGGCCAAUACUGACGCUCAUGCACGAAAGCGUGGGGAGCAAACAGGAUUAGAUACCCUGGUAGUCCACGCCCUAAACGAUGUCAACUAGUUGUUGGGGAUUCAUUUCCUUAGUAACGUAGCUAACGCGUGAAGUUGACCGCCUGGGGAGUACGGUCG
rnacentral:rRNA from 1 species